GGUGUUGUGGCCAAGUAGUAAGGCGAGAGUCUGCAAAACUCUUAUGCGCGGGUGCAAAUCCCGCCAACACCUCCA
rnacentral:tRNA from 1 species